rnacentral:rRNA from 1 species
UACGUAGGGGGCAAGCGUUGGUCCGGAUUUAUUGGGCGUAAAGAGCGUGUAGGCGGUUUGGUAGGUCCGCUGUGAAAACUCGAGGCUCAACCUCGAGACGCCGGUGGAAACCAUCAGGCUAGAGUCCGGAAGAGGAGAGUGGAAUUCCUGGUGUAGCGGUGAAAUGCGCAGAUAUCAGGAAGAACACCCGUGGCUAAGGCGGCUCUCUAGUACGGUACUGACGCUGAGACGCGAAAGCGUGGGGAG